rnacentral:sRNA from 1 species
ACACUCACAUAAGAGGCCGAUGGAUGAAAAUAAAGUGCCUCGAAAUGCGUGCACACGGGCACGCAAACCAAGGCAAUGGCAUACGCAAUGCAAUAUGGCUAAUAUGGCAUAUAGAAUGCAACAAGGACUUAUACUAACAUGAGAGAGCCUCAGCCACACUCACAUAAGAGGCCGAUGGA